rnacentral:rRNA from 1 species
CCUACGGGAGGCAGCAGUAGGGAAUCUUCCACAAUGGACGAAAGUCUGAUGGAGCAACGCCGCGUGAGUGAAGAAGGGUUUCGGCUCGUAAAGCUCUGUUGGUAGUGAAGAAAGAUAGAGGUAGUAACUUUCCUUUAUUUGACGGUAAUUACUUAUAAAGUCACGGCUAACUACGUGCCAGCAGCCGCGGUAAUACGUAGGUGGCAAGCGUUGUCCGGAUUUAUUGGGCGUAAAGCGAGUGCAGGCGGUUCAAUAAGUCUGAUGUGAAAGCCUUCGGCUCAACCGGAGAAUUGCAUCAGAAACUGUUGGACUUGAGUGCAGAAGAGGAGAGUGGAACUCCAUGUGUAGCGGUGGAAUGCGUAGAUAUAUGGAAGAACAACAGUGGCGAAGGCGGCUCUCUGGUCUGCAACUGACGCUGAGGCUCGAAAGCAUGGGUAGCGAACAGGAUUAGAUACCCUAGUAGUC